AUUGCACCCCCUUCAUCAUCUCUCUCUUUGGAUUCUGAAACCAACGCGAAGAGCAAAGCCCACUGAAAUUGCCUGCACGUUCUCUGAAGCCAAAUCUCUCACACAAAUAUAACAGUAAAAGGACUGUUCCCUCUACUCGUCUCCUCGAGCCGGCGUGUUAUUCCGUUGCUUUUUCUCCGCUUUCUGGCUGAGCAGCCUUUACCAGAGCCCGGAAUCAUAUGCAAAGGUAGCUUAACCGUCACGCUUGCGAUGGGUUUUUGAUGUGGGUUUCUGCUGAAUGAUCAAUAACGGGAUUGUCUCUUUGUCCAGAGGUCUGUUCUUCACAUCUCAUCUCUUGUCUGAUGGCUGAAAACGGUGUUGAUUCACC